rnacentral:rRNA from 1 species
AACGCGAAGAACCUUACCAAGGCUUGACAUACACCGGAAACGGCCAGAGAUGGUCGCCCCCUUGUGGUCGGUGUACAGGUGGUGCAUGGUUGUCGUCAGCUCGUGUCGUGAGAUGUUGGGUUAAGUCCCGCAACGAGCGCAACCCUCGUUCUAUGUUGCCAGCGCGUUAUGGCGGGGACUCAUAGGAGACUGCCGGGGUCAACUCGGAGGAAGGUGGGGAUGACGUCAAAUCAUCAUGCCCCUUAUGUCUUGGGCUUCCGCAUGCUACAAUGGCCGGUACAAAGGGCUGCGAUACCGUAAGGUGGAGCGAAUCCCAAAAAGCCGGUCUCAGUUCGGAUUGAGGUCUGCAACUCGACCUCAUGAAGUCGGAGUCGCUAGUAAUCGCAGAUCAGCA